rnacentral:rRNA from 1 species
UACGGGGGGGGCAAGCGUUGUUCGGAAUUACUGGGCGUAAAGGGCUCGUAGGCGGCCAACUAAGUCGGACGUGAAAUCCCCAGGCUCAACCUGGGAACUGCGAUGGAGACUGCAAGGCUAGAAUCUGGCAGAGGGGGGUAGAAUUCCACGUGUAGCAGUGAAAUGCGUAGAGAUGUGGAGGAACACCGAUGGCGAAGGCAGCCCCCUGGGUCAAGAUUGACGCUCAUGCACGAAAGCGUGGGGAGCAAACAGG